UACGUAGGGUGCAAGCGUUAAUCGGAAUUACUGGGCGUAAAGCGUGCGCAGGCGGUUGUGCAAGACAGAUGUGAAAUCCCCGGGCUCAACCUGGGAACUGCAUUUGUGACUGCACGGCUGGAGUGCGGCAGAGGGGGAUGGAAUUCCGCGUGUAGCAGUGAAAUGCGUAGAUAUGCGGAGGAACACCGAUGGCGGAGGCAAUCCCCUGGGCCUGCACUGACGCUCAUGCACGAAAGCGUGGGGAGCAAACAGG
rnacentral:rRNA from 1 species